UGGGGAAUAUUGGACAAUGGGCGGAAGCCUGAUCCAGCCAUGCCGCGUGUGUGAAGAAGGCCUUUUGGUUGUAAAGCACUUUAAGCGAGGAGGAGGCUCUUCUAGUUAAUACCUAGGAUGAGUGGACGUUACUCGCAGAAUAAGCACCGGCUAACUCUGUGCCAGCAGCCGCGGUAAUACAGAGGGUGCGAGCGUUAAUCGGAUUUACUGGGCGUAAAGCGUGCGUAGGCGGCUGAUUAAGUCGGAUGUGAAAUCCCUGAGCUUAACUUAGGAAUUGCAUUCGAUACUGGUCAGCUAGAGUAUGGGAGAGGAUGGUAGAAUUCCAGGUGUAGCGAUGAAAUGCGUAGAGAUCUGGAGGAAUACCGAUGGCGAAGGCAGCCAUCUGGCCUAAUACUGACGCUGAGGUACGAAAGCAUGGGGAGCAAACAGG
rnacentral:rRNA from 1 species